rnacentral:lncRNA from 12 species
UUUUUUUCGUAAGUGCAAGAUAAAAUACAGGGCAAGUGGCAUGAUUUAUUCAAAUAAAUGAUGACACGAAGUAACUUGCAAACUAACCCUUACAUUGAGCAGUGCAGGAUUAUUUCUGAUGACUCAUCAGAUCAGAUAAUCCACAGCAUGUGGAUAAAAGGGGACACAGGACUCAGAACUAAACCGAGAAAGCCACGCUUGGAAAAAUGCAAAAUGUGAGGUUAGUGUUGCAUUAAAGGUAAGACCUGAAAAGACCACGGCAACGUGCUGCCCCCCAGCAGGGAUUUUUAGCCUGGCAUUUUUGAAAGGACCAAAGAGAUGUUCAAAGGGAGUGGAGUAAAAUAUCCCUGAAGGGGCCUUUGAAAAUCCAAACUUUAGUACUUUUGUGGGACACCACAUUAAUGUGAGAUUCUGACUGAAGAAAUGUGUUUUAAUUUCAGAGUAGCAGUUUUGCCCGUUUGCGUCAACAUUUCCUACUUUCUUGGAGGGGGAAGUUUUGCUCCUGAAUAAAUAAAUGUUAUGCAUGUUCCGGAACGGAUUUUCUCCAUCCCCAAGAGCCAGGAUGCCACACCCAGGGGCAGUGUCUGUGGGCAGGCUUUCAAAGGCCCCUCCAACUGAGUCCUGCUUCUGCACCUCUGGCUUGCACUCGGAAGUGCUGGAACCUAAAUGCCCGUUGUCACCUGAGUGGAAAAUGCAUGGCUUGAGAUUGACCCAAGGGCUGAGCUUCCUUCAAAAUUGCUGUGUGUCAGGAGGAUCCCAAAGAGAGACAUGGGCUGCCAUCAGCCCAUGAAAGAGUCUGUGCCCCAACAGGACUGUUGGAAGUGAUUUCAACAAUCUCUCCCUGGAAAGGCAAGAAGCUCCCAAACCUGGACAUUUUAUUUGUUGUUGCCUGCUUGCCCUGACUGAGUUUAGAUCACGUAGCUGAGGGACAAUGUGAGCACAUGUAGCUGGGCUGGUGUGUUGGCUGUGCUUUCCCUCAGCUCUCUACAGUGCAAGUUAUUGUGCUGGGCUGUACCAGUAACCAAAGUGCUUAGCCCAGAAGGGUUAAUGUAAACAGUCUACCAUUUCUUUUGUAAAGAUGAGUAGGUCUUCCAUUCAGACACACCAGUAUAACCAGAAGGUGUUAUCAGUAGGCAUUUUUCAGAAUACUUAUUUAUUUAAUUUACAUAGAAACUAUAAGGACAGCUGUCUAUAUUUGUAAGGCUUUAAAAGCUUAAACCAAGUGAAAUGAUUAGAACACAAAUGUGCUCACUCAACUUUGUCAGCCCAGCUCCUCUCUCAGAAACCCAUCUCUGCUGAAUGCAGCCUAGAAACAUGUGAUGUACAGUGCACGAUGAGCCUUUGCUGAUGCUGUCCUGGGAAAGGUGAGAAGAGCUCUCCAGAAAGCUGAAGGAGCCCUCCAACAACUAUACUACCCUGGAGCACUUGCUCCUUCACAUUUCACAGCGUUUGGCACAAGCAGCUCUGUCAGAUGUGAUGGCUAUGGAGUAGUGCAUGAAGAGAAGCUGUGAGCCAUUUGGAGCAAAAAAAAGGUAAGACGCCUGAGAGUAUGAUGUCACAUGGAAAUAUCAGGGGCACUCAAUAAUAAUUGCACCUGCAUGUUCUUUAUCAGCCACAUUUUGGGGUUGUGUUGGCCCUUUCCUUUAUUUGCAUGAGGAUCUACCCCACUACUGCAUUGCUACCAUAUUCUGAACUUAUUUGACAGGAGAGUCAGUCAAGCACACCAUCCCAGCAGGUUUGUGUGGGUUUUUCUGUGUUUUAACCUAGAAGUAUUUUUUUCAGCAAGAUUUUGGAG